rnacentral:rRNA from 1 species
GAUGAACGCUGACAGAAUGCUUAACACAUGCAAGUCUACUUGAUUCUACUUCGGUAGUUGAUGGUGGCGGACGGGUGAGUAACGCGUAAAGAAUCUGCCCUUUAGUUCGGGAUAACCUUUGGAAACGAAGGAUAAUACCGGAUAUUAUGGAGACGUCGCAUGACGAUUUCAUGAAAGCUAUAUUCGCUAGAGGAGGACUUUGCGUCCCAUUAGUUAGUUGGUGAGGUAAUGGCUCACCAAGACCGCGAUGGGUAGCCGGCCUGAGAGGGUGAUCGGCCACAAGGGAACUGAGACACGGGCCUUACUCCUACGGGAGGCAGCAGUGGGGAAUAUUGGACAAUGGGCCACAAGCCUGAUCCAGCAAUUCUGUGUGCACGAUGAAGGUCUUCGCAUUGUAAAGUGCUUUCAGUAGGUAAGAAAAAAUGACGGUACCUACAGAAGAAGCGACGGCUAAAUAUGUGCCAGCCGCCGCAGUAACAC